CAGUAGCCACGGGAAUACGAAGGGGGCUAGCGUUGUUCGGAUUUACUGGGCGUAAAGUGCACGUAGGCGGAUCGAUCAGUCAGGGGUGAAAUCCCAGAGCUCAACUCUGGAACUGCCUUUGAUACUGUCGAUCUGGAGUAUGGAAGAGGUGAGUGGAAUUCCGAGUGUAGAGGUGAAAUUCGUAGAUAUUCGGAGGAACACCAGUGGCGAAGGCGGCUCACUGGUCCAUUACUGACGCUGAGGUGCGAAAGCGUGGGGAGCAAACAGGAUUAGAUACCCCGGUAGUCCCUGUCUCUUAUAC
rnacentral:rRNA from 1 species